rnacentral:rRNA from 1 species
CGAAAGGGGAGCAAUUCCCUGAUUAGAGUGGCAAACGGGUGAGUAACACGUGGGUGACCUGCCUUCGAGUGGGGGAUAACCUUCCGAAAGGAGGGCUAAUACCGCAUGACAUACCGUGUUUGGAUACACGGAUAUCAAAGCCGGGGAUCGCAAGACCUGGCGCUUGGAGAGGGGCCCGCGUCCGAUUAGCUAGUUGGUGAGGUAACGGCUCACCAAGGCUCCGAUCGGUACCCGGCCUGAGAGGGCGGACGGACACACUGGAACUGAGACACGGUCCAGACUCCUACGGGAGGCAGCAGUGGGGAAUUGUUCGCAAUGGGCGCAAGCCUGACGACGCAACGCCGCGUGGAGGAUGAAGAAUUUCGGUUCGUAAACUCCUUUCGACCGAGAUGAAUAUCUUGCGAUCUAAUAAGUCGCAGGACUGACAGUAUCGAGAGAAGAAGCCCCGGCUAACUCUGUGCCAGCAGCCGCGGUAAUACAGGGGGGGCAAGCGUUGUUCGGAAUUACUGGGCGUAAAGGGUUCGUAGGUGGCCACUUAAGUCAGACGUGAAAUCCCUCAGCUUAACUGGGGAACUGCGUCUGAUACUGAGUGGCUUGAGUGCAGGAGAGGAAUGCGGAAUUCCAGGUGUAGCGGUGAAAUGCGUAGAUAUCUGGAGGAACACCGGUGGCGAAGGCGGCAUUCUGGACUGUAACUGACACUGAGGAACGAAAGCCAGGGGAGCAAACGGGAUUAGAUACCCCGGGUAGUCCUGGCC